AUACGGGGGGUGCAAGCGUUAAUCGGAAUUACUGGGCGUAAAGCGCGCGUAGGCGGAUAAUUAAGUCAGAUGUGAAAUCCCCGGGCUCAACCUGGGAACUGCAUUUGAUACUGAUUAACUAGAGUAUGGUAGAGGUGAGUGGAAUUUCCGGUGUAGCGGUGAAAUGCGUAGAGAUUGGAAGGAACACCAGUGGCGAAGGCGACUCACUGGGCCAUUACUGACGCUGAGGUGCGAAAGCGUGGGUAGCAAACAGGAUUAGAAACCCCAGUAGUCC
rnacentral:rRNA from 1 species